GUUGAAAUUACAUCGUAGCAGCAUCAGUGUGUUCAUCCUCCUCCUAAGUUCAGUUUUAUACUAUGUUGUUGCUGAAGGGGCAUGAGUUCUAGAGCCAGGCAGACUUAGGUUUUCUCUUAGCUCUAGGACGUUUUGUUAUCUAGGCCUGGAGUCCAUCUCUCAGUAAAAUGGGGGAUAAUAUACAAAUUCUCCAGUUAUGGAGAAUGAUUUAGAACAGGGUCAGACAAUUUCAUUUAAACAAGCAUCCUGAGACUGUAUGAACAGUUUCCAAAUACUUCUGAGAAACAGGAGACUAAACUGUGGGUACAAAAUCCCCGAGCCUGGAAGCUUUAUGUUUCCUGAGUUAAUAUUUGAAAACCACUUAGGCCAAGGUUUGCUAAAAAAGGAAUGUAAGCAGUGUGUGGUUGCUGGAAAAGGAAGUUCCUCCUUUUUUUAUUCCUUCUAGAAAUUAAGAACUUAUGAGCCAUUGGAUGAGGCGUCAAAGCCAAGAAGCCACAAUGAAUUCUUUACAUGAGGUUGCUGGUCAUGCUACAAGUGGGGCCAGUACUCACUUAGGUUGGGCUUCUCCAUGGAACACAGCGCAAAAACAAGCAAAUGAACAAAAAAAAUCAAACAAAUCCCCAAACAAACUAGAAUGCUUAACAGCAAGAAAGAGUGUAUUACUAUGUGAAUAGACAGGUGGGAUUUCUCUGUAUUUCAGAAGAUGCUAUCUUACAGGAUGUUCUGAUUCUCAAAGUAAAUGGUGAUUCUAAUGUAUGUCCACUUGGAGUUGCUCCUGUGUCAAGUGCUACCCUGAGACCCUCGGCUUGUGACACAAGAAUGACUGCCUUGCCCUUCACCCACCAGACUUCAUUGCUGUCAUCUCAAACUUUUUUGUUUUUAAAUCUUGCCUCCUUUUGCUUGUUUCAUCUCUAGAUCCAUAUAACACAGUGAAGUGAACCUCCAACAUCAUAGAAGUGUGUGUUACCUGUAGCCACAGCUUGACAGUGACUGUGUGGUACCCUCUGAAGCGUGAGGCAGUUUCUGCAAUCAGUGUCUCCUGAAGGAGGUGCCGUUGUGAGGUGUGGGUUUGUUAGAGUUUACAGGACCUUCAAGGUGGGUGAGUUCCUGGUUUUGGAGGCUAUGAGAUUUCUAACCAGCAAGAGUUUCUACACAGGUUUGAUACUUAGCCAGGGUCUCAGAUGCUUCUAAGCCUGGACACAGUUACUGGCAAACAGUCUUACUGUGAGGCCAGUGGUGAUCUUAGGUGUUAUGCUGGUUGCACAUGACUCCAAACUUGGUCAUUACUGGCUUUUUGUCUUUUAUAGAAACGAAUGUAUUUUCAGUCCAGAUGCUAUACAAUCAAGCCUGCACAUCUGUAUUAUCUACUUUAGGAUUAGGGGUUGGAAAAUUGAAUCCAUGAAUAUGCCCACAUGCUUCUGUUUCCAGGGCUAGAAGAGUUGCUGUGGAUAAUUAGAAAAUUGUCAGUUCACAUAACAAAAAUGUGCAUGUGUGCCUAAGAGUCAUUGAUAAAGAAGAGUUUGGAGAUAAAAGUUCUCUUGACUGCAUUGAAGUAAUUUUAACACUUAGGAGGUGUUAUGGGAUACUGUGGGGACCUUUAGGAAUGGCGCCUAGCUGGCAGGAAUAGAGCCACUAGAGGUGGGCUUUUGAAGUUAUGCCAGCUCCUGGUUAAUGGAGGACUCUCUCUGCUCCAUUGCCUGUUGGCAGUGGUCUGAACAACCUCUACUAGAUGUCCCCAUGAACUGAACUUUAGUGCCCCGCCCUCUAUGUACUGUACUAAACCCUUAGAAACCACAGACAAAAUAAAUAUUUCCUCUCGAAA